CCCUUAGAUGUUCUGGGCUGCACGCGUGUUACAAUCGGGAGUACAACAAGAUUGCAAAUCCUAGUGGAUGAGUGGUUCUUCGAAAUUUUCUGAAGACUGGGAUAGUUGAUUGAAAUUAUUCAACUCAAACGAGGAAUUCCUUGUAAUUGUAAUUCAUUAUAUUGUAAUGAAUACGUCCCUGCCCUUUGUACACACCGCCCGUCGCUCCUACCGAUCGAAGAGUUAGGUGAAUUGUUUUGAUCGAUAAGAUUUGACUAUGGUCAACUCUCGUUGUGAAAUUCUGUGAAUCUGACUGUUUAGAGGAAGGAAAAGUCGUAACA
rnacentral:rRNA from 1 species